rnacentral:rRNA from 1 species
GGGUGAAAGCAGGGGACCUUCGGGCCUUGCGCGGAUAGAUGAGCCGAUGUCGGAUUAGCUAGUUGGCGGGGUAAAGGCCCACCAAGGCGACGAUCCGUAGCUGGUCUGAGAGGAUGAUCAGCCACACUGGAACUGAGACACGGUCCAGACUCCUACGGGAGGCAGCAGUGGGGAAUAUUGGACAAUGGGCGCAAGCCUGAUCCAGCCAUACCGCGUGGGUGAAGAAGGCCUUCGGGUUGUAAAGCCCUUUUGUUGGGAAAGAAAAGCAGUCGGCUAAUACCCGGUUGUUCUGACGGUACCCAAAGAAUAAGCACCGGCUAACUUCGUGCCAGCAGCCGCGGUAAUACGAAGGGUGCAAGCGUUACUCGGAAUUACUGGGCGUAAAGCGUGCGUAGGUGGUUGUUUAAGUCUGUUGUGAAAGCCCUGGGCUCAACCUGGGAAUUGCAGUGGAUACUGGGCGACUAGAGUGUGGUAGAGGGUAGUGGAAUUCCCGGUGUAGCAGUGAAAUGCGUAGAGAUCGGGAGGAACAUCCAUGGCGAAAGCAGCUACCUGGACCAACACUGACACUGAGCACGAAAGCGUGGGAGCAAACAGGAUUAGAUACCCUGGUAGUCCACGCCCUAAACGAUGCG